AAAUUGAAGAGUUUGAUCAUGGCUCAGAUUGAACGCUGGUGGCAGGCCUAACACAUGCAAGUCGAACGGUAACAGGAAGCAGCUUGCUGCUUCGCUGACGAGUGGCGGACGGGUGAGUAAUGUCUGGGAAACUGCCUGAUGGAGGGGGAUAACUACUGGAAACGGUAGCUAAUACCGCAUAAUGUCGCAAGACCAAAGAGGGGGACC
rnacentral:rRNA from 1 species